UUUUCCCCUUCAAAUGAAUGUAUAAUGUUGUGGUGGUCAAUUCUGAAGCUUAUGAUAUACUUUAUGUUCAUUAUUUAGUUCUCACCUUCUGGCAAUUUGUGUUUUUUUGAAUUUACAGAUGAUAUUGUUAGCAAUCUACCUAGUCAGUCCUGUUGACCUUAUUCCGGAAGCAAUGUUUGGUUUACUUGGUUACGUGGAUGAUUUCAUCGUGGCGCUCGUCAUCUUGUUUAAUCUUGCUGCCAUUUCUCGGUCAAUACUCUAUCACCGUCAUGGAGGUUCCUGAACUGUGCAGUCAUGGCUUACGGCAAUUUUAAAUUUAACCCAUGGAAAGGAGGAACUAGUUUUGAGUUCGUAAUAGCAAGCUGGGAAUUUUUCUUUGUUGUAUGGGGUCGAAUAAUUGGACUUGAUUCACCUCAUUGGAAUAUAGGAUUUUAGAAGUGAGCCAUCUAUAUGUUGCAAUGUAGUUUCAGUUGAAUUUGUAUACAUUUUCAUGCUCAAUUACGGUGACUUACAAAUGAAA